GCCCCGCUCUUCCUCCUGCUGGCCAAGCGCGCCGCGCGCCACCGGCCCCGCUCCUCUUCCCCAUCUCAGCCAUGCGCGCAGCCGCUCCCGCGCAUGCUUCCUCCUCCUGCCAUGCGCGCCGCCGCCCCGCGCCUCCAUGGCUCCAUCCUCCUCCUAGCACGCGCGCUGCCGUCCCCAUGCAUCCUUCCUCCUCCUAGCAUGCGUGCCUCCGUCCCCGCGCCUCCCUCCUCCAAGCACGCCCCACCCCCUUCCCCCUCCCGGCAUGCGCGCCGCCACCCCGACCUUCCUCCCGCACUCACCGUCGCUCGCUCCCAUCUCCUCCCUGCUUCCAUAGCCGCCCCGCCCCUAUCUUCCCCAGCUUCGGCCGCCGCGCCGCACGUAUAUCCCUAAGCUCCGGCCGCCGCAGCGCCCCAUCUCCCCUCGCUCCCACACCACCACGCCAUCUCCUCCCGGUGGGGCUCCGCCGCCGAAGCGAUCUGGCCGUUCACAGCCACCACCCCUGUCCGUUCACCUGUACAAGAUGACCAGGCCGAGGAGGUGUCAAAGAAAGAGCUAAGUGAUCUAGUAGAGUUCAUUUAUUGAAGGUGUUCACCUUUUGUGUGAUUAUCAGUUCACAUUUGGUGUGAUUUUCUGUUCAACAGGCUUACUAUUUCAUCAUCAGGAUGCAGCAAAAAAGCAAGGUUCACAAGUUCAUCUUCUGGAUGCUUUUCAGUACAUCUACUUCCCGUUGGAGCGCCCUAGCCGAUCACAGCCACCACAGCAGGCCGUUCAACGCCACCUCCGCAGGCGGUUCAUCGCAAAAACAGCGACCUGAUUCCCGCUGGUUCUCACCAGCAAUGCCCAUUCGAGCACGUCAUCGCUCUCCUGCUGCAGCAUGGCUCAGCUACUGCACUUGGUGGAGUACAUGAGUUGGAUUGACGAGGAAGAUGCAUUCUGGGUAUAUCAAAGCCUGCUGGAGGAGUCACGGGGUUGAGGACCUCCCGCUUAACAAUACAACUUCUUGUUUUGUGGCCGGUCGCUCAAGGAGCUGAGUGCAGGCCGCAGAAAAAACAAUUUGUCGGGUUUUUGGUGGCCAAGUAUUAUUGAUAUGGAGAUGAAUAACUAUGCGGAUGCGCUCCUGUGGUUUUUCUGGAAAAAACAAGAUGCCAUGUUUUACUUUAUGAGCUUUCCAAUUUGCAUACUUCAAAGUUGCUGCUUGCUCCCACCCGUGAAUUGCGCAAUUUCAAUGGGUGUCGUCGAGCAUGUUUGGAAGUAUGCCCUUCAUGCAAAAGUGUGAAGUUUUGUCAGUAUUUUGUAUAUUUCAUUUGACAAAGGCUUCAUGUGAUCUUAUGAAGCUUUAUAGAUGUACUGCAAUUACACUUUUAAGGCCCUACAGUUCAUUAUAUCAUACAUGUGUGUCCGUUCAAUAUGUAUUACAUGAUCAGUUCUUGGAAAAGAAGAACA